ACACUAAUCAUCCCAACUUUGCUUGACGCGUUAAAGAAGGAAUCAAAGGUACAUGUUCAAGCAAGACUAUUGGAGGCAUUCAACGAAAGCAUUCAGAUUCCGGGUUCACGUCUAAG